rnacentral:rRNA from 1 species
CCUACGGGAGGCAGCAGUGAGGAAUAUUGGUCAAUGGACGCGAGUCUGAACCAGCCAAGUAGCGUGAAGGAUGACUGCCCUCUGGGUUGAAAACUUCUUUUAUAAAGGGAUAAAACGAGGCACGUGUGCCUUUUUGCAUGUACUUUAUGAAUAAGGAUCGGCUAACUCAGUGCCAGCAGCCGAGGUAAUACGGAGGAUACGAGCGUUAUCCGGAUUGAUUGGGUUUAAAGGGAGCGUAGAUGGGUUGUUAAGUCAGUUGUGAAAGUUUGCGGCUCAACCGUAAAAUUGCAAUUGAUACUGGCAGGCUUGAGUACAGUUGAGGGAGGCGGAAUUCGUGGUGUAGCGGUGAAAUGCUUAGAGAUCACGAAGAACCCCGAUUGCGAAGGCAGCUUACUAAACUGUGACUGACACUGAUGCGCGAAAGUGUGGGUAUCAAACAGGAUUAGAUACCCCUGUAGUC